GUUGACAGACCCCGGCGUAAAGCGUGGUUAGGGAAAACUCAAAACUAAAGCCGAAUAUCUUCAGGGCAGUUAUACGCUUCCGAAGACACGAAGCCCUUCCACGAAAGUGACUUUAUUACCCCCGACCCCACGAAAGCUAGGACACAAACUGGGAUUAGAUACCCCACUAUGCCUAGCCGUAAACAUUGAUAGAAUUAUACACCUCUCUAUCCGCCCGGAUAUUACGAGCAUUAGCUUGAAACCCAAAGGACUUGGCGGUACUUUAGAUCCCCCUAGAGGAGCCUGCUCUAUAACCGAUAACCCCCGUUAAACCUCACCCUCCCUUGUUUUUUCCGCCUAUAUACCACCGUCGUCAGCUCACCCUGUGAAGGCCUAAUAGUAAGCAAAAUUGGCACAGCCCAGAACGUCAGGUCGAGGUGUAGCGCAUGAGAGGGGAAGAAGUGGGCUACAUUCGCUAACUUAGCGAAUCACGGACGAUGAAUUGAAAACAUUCAUCCUUAAAGGAGGAUUUAGCAGUAAGUGGAAAAUAGAGUGUUCCACUGAAAUCGGCUCUGAAGUGCGUACACACCGCCCGUCACUCUCUCCAAGCCCACCCAAUUACCUAACAUAACUAAUUGUACCCAAACUGCAA
rnacentral:rRNA from 1 species